UGUUCAUUUAUUUCUGAGUCAUCCAUAUGUAAGAUAUAAAAAAAAACCCUAAGCAUUAAGCAUAGAAAUCAUGUAAAUUCUAAAAAUCCAAUUUAACACGGUAUGUUUAUAUUUUGUUGUCACACAGUAUGGGUUAUAUUAAUGUAUUUGUUCUUUUUUUCUGUGUUCAGUUUAAAAGGACUUGUUGAUUUUAUUUUUUAUCUUGAAGAAAAAAAAUAACGAUAGACCAACUAUAUUUUAUGUAUCGGAAUGAAUUGCUUUUUCUAUAGAAUUUUCUUAUUUAUAAAUACAAACAUUUAAAACCAAUGUAUUUUCUUGGUCUAACUUUUUCAUGUUCUAGCUAUGAAAUGCACUUGUAAUUAACCUGAAUUAUUAAUUGAUAGAUAUUUGUGAAGAUCGUAUUUAUGCUGUAAAUAUACAUACAGAAAACAUGAGUUAUAUUGAUAGUUUAUGAAGUAUUUUAUACAACCUUUGUUUACUAGUUAUUUGAAGAAAAAAGAUGAAAUGAUGAAUAAAACACUUCUAUCU
rnacentral:sRNA from 1 species